rnacentral:miRNA from 1 species
GCGAUUGUGUCUGGACAUCU